rnacentral:rRNA from 1 species
UCAUUGAAGAGAGAAUGCCGGAAUGAGUAGCGAGAAAUAGGUGAGAAUCCUAUUGGCCGAAUAUCCAAGGAUUCCAGGGUAAAGCUGAUCUGCCCUGGGUAAGUCGGGGCCUAAGGCGAGGUCGGAAGACGUAGCCGAUGGACAACAGGUGGAGAUUCCUGUACUGCAUAUGGUCAGAACUGUGGGGACACGGGGUGUUAACGGAAGCCGGGAAAGGAAAGACCGGCCCAAGCACAGGAGGCGUUGCGCAGGCAAAUCCGCGCAAUAAGCCAGAGGUGUGACGGGGAGCGAAAUAAAAGUAGCGAAGUCCGGAUACAUGCUGUCAAGAAAAGCCGCUAUUGCGCCAUAUGUACCCGUACCGUAAACCGACACAGGUGGAUGAGGAGAGAAUCCUAAGGCCGGCGGGAGAAGUGUUGUUAAGGAACUCGGCAAAAUGGCCCCGUAACUUCGGGAGAAGGGGCGCCCAGAAAUGGGCCGCAGAGAAAAGGCUCAAGCAACUGUUUAGCAAAAACACAGGUCUAUGCGAAACCGAAAGGUGAGGUAUAUGGGCUGACGCCUGCCCGGUGCUGGAAGGUUAAGGGGAGAGGUUAGCCGCAAGGCGAAGCUUUGAACUUAAGCCCCAGUAAACGGCGGCCGUAACGAUAACGGUCCUAAGGUAGCGAAAUUCCUUGUCGGGUAAGUUCCGACCCGCACGAAAGGCGUAAUGAUUUGAGCACUGUCUCGACAACCACCCGGUGAAAUUGAAAUACCAGUGAAGAUGCUGGUUACCUGCGCCAGGACGGAAAGACCCCAUGGAGCUUUACUCUAGUUUGAUACUGGGACCCGGUAUGACAUGUACAGGAUAGGUGGGAGGCAGAGAAUUAAUGACGCCAGUCAUUAAGGAGCCGGUGUUGGGAUACCACCCUUGUGAUGCCAGGUUUCUAACGGGCUGCCGUGAACCGGCAGGCGGACAAUGUCAGGCGGGGAGUUUGACUGGGGCGGUCGCCUCCGAAAGGGUAUCGGAGGCGCUCAAAGGUUCCCUCAGAAUGGUUGGAAACCAUUCGGAGAGUGCAAAGGCAGAAGGGAGCCUGACUGCGACACCGACGGGUGGAGCAGGUACGAAAGUAGGACUUAGUGAUCCGGUGGUAUAAAGUGGGAUUGCCAUCGCUCAACGGAUAAAAGCUACCCUGGGAUAACAGGCUUAUCACUCCCAAGAGUUCACAUCGACGGAGUGGUUUGGCACCUCGAUGUCGGCUCAUCGCAUCCUGGGGCUGGAGUAGGUCCCAAGGGUUGGGCUGUUCGCCCAUUAAAGCGGUACGCGAGCUGGGUUCAGAACGUCGUGAGACAGUUCGGUCCCUAUCCGGCGCGGGCGUAAGAGAUUUGAGAGGAGCUGUCCUUAGUACGAGAGGACCGGGAUGGACGGACCACUGGUGUAUCUGUUGCACCACCAGGUGCACGGCAGAGUAGCCAAGUCUGGAAGGGAUAAACGCUGAAGGCAUCUAAGCGUGAAGCCCCCCUCAAGAUAAGAUCUCUCAUUCGAAAGAAGUAAGACCCCUUGAAGACGACGAGGUAGAUAGGGCAGGGGUGGAAGGGCAGUAAUGUCCGGAGCUGACUGUUACUAAUCGGUCGAGGGCUUGAUC